GUACCCCUGCCUUGUACGCGGACUGCAGCACAAUAACCCUACUACAUUAUGAAUUAGGGAGCUUGGCUCCGGAGUCGGAUUGCAGACCUCCCCGUUAAAACGGGAAGAAGGGAGCGUGAACACUUCGGGCGGCGCCCACCUGCUGAAGUUGGUAGCAGGUUAUCCGGGCUGCAAUACGGCUUGGCGGGGCAAGU
rnacentral:other from 1 species